rnacentral:rRNA from 1 species
AUCACGAGGGCUUAGCUGUCUCCUCCUCCCAAUCAAUUAAAUUGAUCUCCCCGUGCAGAAGCUGGGAUAAUACCAUAAGACGAGAAGACCCUAUGGAGCUUUAGACAUAUCAGGUUUACGUCACUGCCCCCUAGAUAAAGGAGUGAACUAAUUAUAUACCUUGAAAAUGUUUUUGGNUGGGGCGACCACGGGAAAAGAAAUAACUCCCACGGCGAAGAAGUACAAACUUUUAAAGCUAAGACAAUCAAGUCUAAGCCAUAGAAAUUCUAACAAAUGAUCCGGCUUGCCGAUCAACGAAACGAGUUACCCUAGGGAUAACAGCGCAAUCCCCUUUAAGAGACCUUAUCAGCAAGGGGGUUUACGACCUCGAUGUUGGAUCAGGACAUCCUAAUGGUGCAGCCGCUAUUAAGGGGG